rnacentral:rRNA from 1 species
UACGGGGGGGGCAAGCGUUGUUCGGAAUUACUGGGCGUAAAGGGCUUGUAGGUGGCCAACUAAGUCCGACGUGAAAUCCCUAGGCUUAACCUAGGAACUGCGUCGGAUACUGGAUGGCUUGAAUCCGGGAGAGGGAUGCGGAAUUCCAGGUGUAGCGGUGAAAUGCGUAGAUAUCAGGAGGAACACCUGCGGUGUAGACGGCUUUCUGGACCAUUGCUGACGCUGAGGACACGAAAGCGUGGGUAGCAAACAGG